CAGAUAAGUCAACAACGCCCUGGAGAAGUUGAAGAUUAAACUCUGUGGUUAGAGUUCUAAACUCAGGCACUAACAAGUACUGAGUUUCCAGCUUGCCUCCUUAUCUGCUCUGCUCUCCUUCCGCAGGUCCUGACCUACUCCUGGGGAUGAAGAGACUUAAAGGCACAUUUUCUGACUGUGAGGUCCUCUAAGUGGAGGCAGCAGAAAUAUAAGCAGGAAUACGACUCCUCCCCGGAGAGCCCAAGUUACUGCUGAAAACUGUGAAGUCUCCAGUCUGAGCAUUUCAGAAGCCAAGAUGCUCCAAUGGAACCAUCCAAGUUCUUUGUGUUGGUGGGAAACCUCCCUGUAAGGAGUUUUCUCCAGCAAACAAAAUCAUUUGGCGAGAGUAAGCAGGCUCCCCCCGAGAGACCCCCUGGAAUGGAAGAACACUGAGCUAUGUCUUUACCUGCAGGCACAUUCAAACUGAAAUAAAGACCCCCUUCUCGGAGACCUUGGGUCCAUCUCAACUGCCCUUUCUGCAAGGAUGGGAGAAAUUCUGAGCCGACGAUGAGUGGAGGAGUUAAUUUGCUGCUGUGCUAAACGGCGAGCAGUGAGGCUGUCAGAGGGGAGAAGCAGCAGCAAGUGGAGAAAUCUUUGAUCCUCACUUCAGCCAACUUCUUCCGGAAACUUGAAUGGGAGAUCAAACGUGAACAGCAGCGCAGGCUUUGAGCUCUGUCCAGGGCUAUAGGAAUCCAAUACUCCAAUAAUCAUCCGGCUUCGACAGAAGUCAACCCAGGAAGCUCACCAAGGAAAAGGCUUAAGAAAGCAGAGGACUGAAGCCAUGACAAAUGAGGGAGAGGAGGAGAGGGUUGCAAACGUCCUUGGGCUGUCUUCACUGGAAUACUCUUCCUGUGCAUUUCUUCCCUUAUGCAGCCAGCCUUUCGCACAAAACUCAAAAGGCAACAGACAUGAAGCUGAAUAAUCAUCUGCAUUUCUAGACUCAAAUAGAAGUUCAAGGGCCUGGUCUUGGUUUUUCUCUGCUAAGGAUUCACGCAAGCUCUGCCUGGGGAAUCGAUUUACUGUCCAAGUAGCUCUGUAGACCGCGGGGUAGUACCAACACUUCUGUCCAGAUCACACGUGAUAUUCAUCAUAAAGCCCCUCCCAUCUGUAAAGCACCUUGUAGUUUACAAAGCAUUUUCACACUCAUUAUCUCAUUUGCCCUAUGGUAGGGAGGGUGGGGGAGUGUCUCUGUGUUCCAGGGGCUCAGGAUUGAUCGCCAGCUGCCCAUUUUCGCCCCAAGAGUCCUGGUCAUAAGUGAUACAUAUUACAACAUGAUCAAAGUCCAGCAAAUCCUGCAAGUGUGGUCACUUACAGCUGCCACAAAUACAAAAUCUCAUUACAGUCACUGGCAUGCAUCCAACCACUCUGAUAUUUAGCAGAAAGAUACGGCAGAUAGGCAGAAUAGCGCCUCUCAUCACUGUUGGAGCAUCCAGACUAUUACCACCUUACUUGGUACACCCAUCGCAUGGCAUGGAUACUAAGUAAAAGCUGUACCUCGGGAUAUAAUCUUUACUCAUAAGCUUGGUCCUGAACUAUGCUCUUCAGCUCACCUAGCUCUUAAAUGUUCUGGCCACCUGCUGCGAUACUGCUCUUCCUUUCUUUCCUCCCCCCGAAUCCUCCCUGGUCCCUCACCAAGAUGCGCUUUACAACCCUGACCUCUUGUCAGUGUCAACCACAACCUACUACUCCCUCGCCCCAAGCUUAUUUCAGUAUCAUUCUCUUCUAAUUCAACCUAGCCUAAAGGACACGGUGCACCAAAGGAUGAAUAUAUCAAUCUUUGGGGGGAAAAAACACAACAUUCUGAGAAGAGCUCCAGAAACCCACACCUUGGCAUGGUCCGUGGCAGAGCCACCCAGUAAAAAGAGAGCAACUAACAAAACCUAGUGAGCUCUGGAGCUAUGAAGGGUGGGGGGCUCGCCAGGUCACCCAUCAUUAGGUGAGUUGAUACAACGAAUGCUUACAGGUGAUAAAACACAGUCCUCUUCUUCAGGAGGCUUAGAGUCCAUCAAGGAAGACAGACAUUAGACAUGUAGUUUCAGUCCUAGGGGAUGGUGGUUGUAACGGAGAUUUCCCAAGUCGUUUGGAGGAGGUUGCAGGUACCGGACCACACUGAACAACUUCAGGGGGCACUCUUCCUGUGAGAGGCAGCUAACAUCAUCUACUGAUAGGAGAGUGUCCUCGGCACUCAUUCUAUAGAAACUGACCACGUAAUGGCCAUGUUCAUAACACAUGACUCUCUCUGGCAAAGAUCAAGAUUUUAUCCUUCCAUGCGGAGACUGCUUAGCCCAAUGAGGGCUCUCAGUAUCCAAGACCCAGUAGAGCUGCAGGGGCUCGGGGAAGAGUACAGUAGAGGCCAUCUCUGAAGCGUACGAUCUUGCAGGACAGGCACUGCUGGAGGGCCCAUCUGGCUUUAAAGAAGAGACAAGUUUGCAGGCUCUGGGUUCAGACAGAGGAUUGGAGCUCUGUCAACAGUUUACAUUUCACUGGAACUUUCUCCAGAGCUACGGAGCCAUAACUACUGGUGGGAUGUUCUUUGUACAGUAGCCUGAACUCAGCACAAUUGUUGCUGGCAGGGUGCCCAUUUUCAUGGCAAUCUGGCAUCUGGUGUUUCCUGAGCACCCACUAUGUACCAGGCCACCCAUUUCUUAAUAAACAUCCCAAGUGGAAAGGAAAGGGCCAGAAAGUGACCUGUAUGAAAAUCCAGUGUGUGCCGCCCACGAGCCAUGUGACUUUGGUCAGUCUGCCUGAGCUUCAGUUUCCGUAUCCAUCAAAUGAGAGGCAAAAUCUCAGGAGAUUCUUUAAAGGUUUAAAUGGAUAAUGUCUCUGGCACACUGUGGGGCUAGAAAUAUGGUUUUUUCCCUUCCCUCUUUCAAAAGCAGGCACUCUGGAGUGAGUCUGGCUUAUGUCACGGUUUCUUCACUCUCCAAAUACUGGACUUUAACUGCCCCUCCACCCUGUGAAAUGGGACACUAGUAUUUACCUUAUGGGAUUGAU